GGAUAUGAAGGCAAUCUGAUCACAACAUCUGUCAAGCAGGAUUGAUCUGGCUAGCUGGACUGGGUGGGCAGGCUUGCCCUUUCUCCCUCAGUGCUCCAUGUGUGGCUUGCCCAAAGCUGUGCACUAGUUUGAAAAGGAUGACCAUCCAAUCAAGGACUAUUCCUGGGUCAAGGGCAGAGGUGUAGCUAAGCUCCACUGCUAGAACCUGCAUACAAGCUCUCAAGCCUUCAGUAAAAUCAGUGUACCUAUAAAGACAAGGAAUGGAAAUGAAAGGUUGGAAUAUAACACUU
ensembl:misc_RNA 7SK 7SK RNA